rnacentral:rRNA from 1 species
UACGUAGGUGGCGAGCGUUACUCGGAAUUACUAGGCGUAAAGCGCAGGUAGGCGGUUGGGUAAGUCCGUAAUGAAAUCUCCCGGCUUAACUGGGAGGGGUUUAGGGAUACUGCCUGACUCGAGUGUGGUAGAGGUCACUGGAAUUCCUGGUGUAGCGGUGAAAUGCGUAGAGAUCAGGAGGAACACCUAUGGCGAAAGCAGGUGACUGGACCAAUACUGACGCUGAGCUGCGAAAGCUAGGGGAGCAAACAGG